rnacentral:rRNA from 1 species
GACGAACGCUGGCGGCGUGCUUAACACAUGCAAGUCGAACGGAAAGGCCCUGCUUUUGUGGGGUGCUCGAGUGACGAACGGGUGAGUAACACGUGAGUAACCUGCCCUUGACUUUGGGAUAACUUCAGGAAACUGGGGCUAAUACCGGAUAGGAGCUCCUGCUGCAUGGUGGGGGUUGGAAAGUUUCGGCGGUUGGGGAUGGACUCGCGGCUUAUCAGCUUGUUGGUGGGGUAGUGGCUUACCAAGGCUUUGACGGGUAGCCGGCCUGAGAGGGUGACCGGCCACAUUGGGACUGAGAUACGGCCCAGACUCCUACGGGAGGCAGCAGUGGGGAAUAUUGCACAAUGGGCGGAAGCCUGAUGCAGCAACGCCGCGUGCGGGAUGACGGCCUUCGGGUUGUAAACCGCUUUCGCCUGUGACGAAGCGUGAGUGACGGUAAUGGGUAAAGAAGCACCGGCUAACUACGU